GAUGAACGCUAGCUACAGGCUUAACACAUGCAAGUCGAGGGGCAGCGCAGUGUAGCAAUACACGGGCGGCGACCGGCGCACGGGUGCGUAACGCGUAUCCAACCUUCCCGUUACUCAGGGAUAGCCUUCCGAAAGGGAGAUUAAUACCUGAUGGUGUUCAAAUUCCGCAUGUUAUUUGAACUAAAGAUUUAUCGGUAACGGAUGGGGAUGCGUGACAUUAGAUAGUAGGCGGGGUAACGGCCCACCUAGUCUACGAUGUCUAGGGGUUCUGAGAGGAAGGUCCCCCACACUGGAACUGAGACACGGUCCAGACUCCUACGGGAGGCAGCAGUGAGGAAUAUUGGUCAAUGGUCGGAAGACUGAACCAGCCAAGUAGCGUGAAGGAUGAAGGUUCUAUGGAUUGUAAACUUCUUUUAUACGGGAAGAAAACCUCCCACGUGUGGGAGCUUGUAUGUACCGUAUGAAUAAGCAUCGGCUAACUCCGUGCCAGCAGCCGCCGUAAUAC
rnacentral:rRNA from 1 species